ensembl:snoRNA
UGAAGACUGUUCUUCCUAGCGCCUCAGGCCUGCACUAGGAUUUCAUGUCCUCAUAAGUUAAAAUUUAAUUUUCUUUAAAAAAAUUUGUCUUCAUGCAGAGGAAGUAAGGAUAAUCUAUGCAGAGAUUUACAAGA